rnacentral:rRNA from 1 species
UACGUAGGGGGCAAGCGUUAUCCGGAUUUACUGGGUGUAAAGGGAGCGUAGGCGGCGAUGCAAGUCAGAAGUGAAAGCCCGGGGCUCAACUCCGGGACUGCUUUUGAAACUGUGUUGCUAGAUUGCAGGAGAGGUAAGUGAAUUCCUAGUGUAGCGGUGAAAUGCGUAGAUAUUAGGAGGAACACCAGUGGCGAAGGCGGCUUACUGGACUGUAAAUGACGCUGAGGCUCGAAAGCGUGGGGAGCAAACAGG